rnacentral:misc_RNA from 1 species
AAUAGUUGAUAGCACAUGUGCAGCUGGUUUUGUUACCUUGUAUUGAAAUGUGCCAGGGAUAUAACGCAGCUGCAGUACAUAAAUUGGCCGGACUUUAAUGUGCCAGAGAGUCCAGACACAUUUCUAGAUUUUCUACAGAUAGUUAGAAAUACAGAAUGUUUUGAUGAAGAGUCCGGACCUCCUGUUAUUCAUUGUUCUGCUGGGAUUGGUAGAUCUGGAACUUUCUGUUUAGUGGAUUCUAGUUUAGUUUUGGCAGCUAAAGGGAAACACUUGAAUAUUCAAAUCAUUAGAUCUAUAUUGUUGAACAUGAGAACUCAAAGAAUGGGAUUGAUACAGACAGAGGACCAACUGAGGUUUUCUGUAUCUGCUAUAAUUGUUGGAUGCUCCCGGAUGACCGCUAGUGAAGUUGUUGUUAACGGAUCCGGAUCUAAGACGGACUCUGAGUCAGCUGACCGACCUGCGGGUAAACGGUUAUCUGUCUCUUCGCAUUCUCCUCCCAGCUCCAAGAAGCGUAAAAACUCUGAUUCUUGACAGUUCUGUUGCUGUAUCUUUUAUAUUUCUUCACAACAUUCAUAGCAGCCUUGGACCCCUUCUUCAAUAUAGGUUUAACUAAACCACAUGUUUAACAGUUAGAACCUUCAUAGCAGCCUUGGACCCCUUCUUCAAUAGAGAUUUAACUAAACUACAUGUUUAACAGUUAGAACCUUCAUAGCAGCCUUGGACCCCUUCUUCAAUAGAGAUUUAACUAAACUACAUGUUUAACAGUUAGAACCUUCAUAGCAGCCUUGGACCCCUUCUUCAAUAGAGGUUUAACUAAACUACAUAUUAAACAGUUAGAACCUUCAAUAUUGUUCUGCAUAAAUACUUCUUCAAUAGAGGUUUAACAAAACCACAUGUUUAACAGUUAGAUUCUUCAAUAUUGUUCUGUAUUAAUACUUCUUUAAUGGAAGUUUAACUAAACUACAUGUUAAACAGUAAAACCUUCAAUAUUGUUCUGUAUUAAUACUUCUUUUCUUAAAAGGACUGUAAAGUUUAUUUGUACAGUCACUCUCUUCAUGACAUGCCUAAUUUCCAACAGUACUUUUAAAAGCUUUGUCUAAUUAAGAAAAAAAACACUUCAAAUUAGUUUAACGACGAUAUCUUCUGCAUUUUUGAUCAGAUAAAUUUCGUAAGGGUACCUUAGUGAAUUGUGCAUUUGUUUAAUUUAGAAUCACUGGAAAAUACGACAGUCCUUUUAUUAGAAAGAAAACUACCCAUUUUGAUACCUGUUGUUUCCAGGAUUGUUAAUUACAGAUGGAACAAAAUUUCUUUCGACUUUGUUUUAUCUGUAUAAACUGUGGUUAACUUUUUCCCUAUGUAUUCAAUAGUGUUCUAUGGGUUUUAACUUUAUGUUAGAUCUAUCUUGCAUAAAGGAGUUCUAUUAUGGUAUGGGAGUAAAUGAAUUAUUAAUUGGUACAAGACCAAAAAAUCUUGAAAAAAUUGUAUAAUUUUUCUGUUGUGUGUAAUAUUUAAGUUCACAUAAUUUUUUCAUUUUUUAGCAGAAUUAACAUAUUUGUUAUCCAAGUUAUGACUAGUGUUAAUUUUAAAAUAUAUAUAUGAUCAAAACGUU